rnacentral:rRNA from 1 species
CCAGACUCCUACGGGAGGCAGCAGUGGGGAAUAUUGCACAAUGGGGGAAACCCUGAUGCAGCAACGCCGCGUGAGUGAAGAAGUAUUUCGGUAUGUAAAGCUCUAUCAGCAGGGAAGAAAAUGACGGUACCUGAGCAAGAAGCCCCGGCUAACUACGUGCCAGCAGCCGCGGUAAUACGUAGGGGGCAAGCGUUAUCCGGAUUUACUGGGUGUAAAGGGAGCGUAGACGGCAGCGCAAGUCUGGAGUGAAAUGCCGGGGCCCAACCCCGGAACUGCUUUGGAAACUGGCGAACUAGAGUGCGGGAGGGGUAAGCGGAAUUCCUAGUGUAGCGGUGAAAUGCGUAGAUAUUAGGAGGAACACCGGUGGCGAAGGCGGCUUACUGGACCGUAACUGACGUUGAGGCUCGAAAGCGUGGGGAGCAAACAGGAUUAGAUACCCCCGUAUA